rnacentral:snRNA from 1 species
GUGCUCGCUUCGGCAGCACAUAUACUAAAAUUGGAAUAUACAGAGAUUAGCAUGGCCCCUGUGCAAGGAUGACAUGCAAAUUCGUGAAGUGUUCCAUUAAAAA